CCUACGGGUGACAGCAGUGGGGAAUAUUGCACAAUGGGGGGAACCCUGAUGCAGCGACGCCGCGUGGGUGAAGGAGUAUUUCGGUAUGUACAGCCCUAUCAGCAGGGAAGAACAAUGACGGUACCUGACUAAGAAGCACCGGCUAAAUACGUGCCAGCAGCCGCGGUAAUACGUAUGGUGCAAGCGUUAUCCGGAUUUACUGGGUGUAAAGGGAGCGCAGGCGGCGCGUUAAGCCUGGUGUGAAAGUCCGCGGCCCAACCGCGGGACUGCAUUGGGAACUGGCGCGCUGGAGUGCCGGAGGGGUAGGCGGAAUUCCUAGUGUAGCGGUGAAAGGCGUAGAUAUUAGGAGGAACACCAGUGGCGAAGGCGGCCUACUGGACGGUGACUGACGCUGAGGCUCGAAAGCGUGGGGAGCAAACAGGAUUAGAUACCACAGUAGUC
rnacentral:rRNA from 1 species